rnacentral:tRNA from 1 species
GCCUGGGUGGCUCAGUCGGUAGAGUGUCCGACUUUGGCUCAGGUUGUGAUCUCACGGUUCGAGGGUUCGAGCCCCGCGUCGGGCU